UUUAUUAGCAGUUAAUUCUUACCAAUGUUUAUUUAAUAGCAAGUAAGUAUACCAAUCACGCUGCCAAAUACUGUUGUAACUUAAGAAGUGUACUACAAGAAGCUACAGCUCCUUCUGCAUAACCCUUAAGAUGUGUACCCUUGCCAAAUGCUAACCUAUGCGUAAACAAGUGAAACUCUUAAAGGGCAAUGGAGUUGUCAAGACUCAAUUUUAAGAAAAAGUGACUCUCUCAACAGAAAGCUUGAGGGAUCUGACUGGUUCGUGUCUAAGUUUCUUGAAACAUUCCCUGCAGAUGAUUAACCCCAGAAGUGAUCAAAACGCCUGAGCAACUGGAAAAACAAUCACUUCUGGGAAAGCCUUUGUUUCUUUUCAUUGCCAUUUUACGUUGGUCCACUUCGGAUCGCCUUCAGUUCUCAUAAACAAGCCAAAAGAGGACACAGGUGCUUCUAGUUUGUACACGCCCGUCUCUACACCUGCGGGAAAGCGGCACAGGUCUGUCCUCUUAACGCUCAAGAACACCUGACCAAUGUUUUUUUAAACUGCUUAACUAGUAAGAAUAUUUUAUUCGGGUCCACUUUCAUGGGCUAAAAGAAGGGGGGGGGGGGGGUGGAUCUCAAAACACCGUCCCAAUAAGCAAUUUCUCAUCUCUUCCGUCGAUGAUCAAAGCGGUAUUGCCCUAGGACGUGGGAGGGGGGGUCUUUAAAAUUUUACCUGGUUAUUGUUCUAAUGCUGAACUCCUAACGUCAAAAUGAGAUCAUAAACUUAUUCCGAGUUACAAAUAACAAAGAAAAAGUCUAGGGGAGCGGGAGAGAGCGCCGCAGACGCUCAACAGGGAGCAAGGCUUGGGGCACUCCGGGUGGCUUUGCGGACUCGCGGCGCCGUCGCUAUGGGAACCCCACGCAAGCGCAGAGCGCGCGGCUGUGUGUCCAGGACUAGCCUCCACCGCCCUGCCCCGCGCCGCUCGGGUGCCCCGGGUUUAUUCCAGGAAAGGGCAAUGGAGUAAAUCCUCCCAGCACUGAGAGCACCCGGUCUUCUCUGAAAGGGUCCUGAGUGAGGUCACUGGGCGCAGGAAAAGCUCGUGAGACACCAAAUGUAAUGGACACCGCACUUCCCUUGCUGGGAAAAGCGGACCUGCUCUUUGCGGCGACUGCGGGUCAGACAGGCGGCCCGCCUAGAGGUGAAGCACCCUGCAGUGAGCGGUGCUUUACCCCUCACCGUGCAUAAACCCCCACUUACCACCACAAGAGACCUGAGAGUUAAAUCCUGGCGCAGGCUCACACACCCAUCCUUCGAAAUUACGGGACCUCAAGACCAGUUGUGGUCCAGUUCUCCGCCAGGGGGUUUGAGGGAUCCCCACUCGCACACCUCACACUGUCCUAAAGAGCGUGUCCCGGCCGGAACUGCAGAGAGAGGAACUCGAGCCACUUGCACACCUGGACUGCAGUACCAGUCCUCUUCUUUCCCGUCCGCCACCCCGACUCCCCCCAAAGCACUGACCUGCUCAACUUUGAGUGCUCGAGAGAUGGAUUCCUCUGAGUCCUCCGAAGUGCUGGCUUGAUGAGUUAUUGGUCCCUGUGACUCCAACUCCAAAACCCUGUGGAGGAGCAGAAAAGCCCCCCAGAAGGACUCGUCUGCACACCAGCCUGUAGAUCCCCAGAGACCGGCAGGACAGAAUGGGUCGCCGCCGCCACAACCUGCUUUCUCAUUCAAAUCCUCACACUCACUCCGGAGCCCCCUCCCUGCCAGGCCUCAGCUCCGGCGGAAAUCAGGAACUGGAGCCGCGGAGAGCGGACUGGAGCUGGCGCCACCGCCAGGGGACCCAGCGACUGGGCGCGAGGGUCCGAGCGCUGGGCCCGGACCCCAGGGCUUACACCUCCUUGAGGGGUUCCCCGGCAGCCAAGAAAGACCUCCCACAGAGCCAACAUCUACGCUUUCAAGAUGGCCAGAGCCUGAUGGGCAGGACAGACAUAUAAUUGAAGUGCUUCCUACAGCCUAAGAAAUAAUAUUGAAACUUUGACAUUACAUAUUUCCCUUAGGGAAUAUAC
ensembl:lncRNA